UACGGAAGGGGCAAGCGUUGUUCGGAAUCAUUGGGCGUAAAGGGCGCGUAGGUGGUUCUGUAUGUCUACCGUGAAAGCGUACGGCUCAACCGUAUUUUGUCGGUGGAAACUGCAGGACUUGAGGCUGGGAGGGGCUGGUGGAAUUCCCGUGUGUAGCGGUGAAAUGCGUAGAGAUGGGGGAGAACACCUGCGGCGAAGGCGGGUUGCUGGGCUGACACUGACGCUGAUGCGCGAAAGCCAGGGGAGCGAACGGG
rnacentral:rRNA from 1 species